rnacentral:ncRNA from 1 species
AAUAAAGCUAUGAAGAGAAGAGUAGGCCAAAUUGUUUCUUACAGAGAGCUCUCGGUUGGUGGAAAGAGGGUAGAAGCGUUUGACUGAAGCAAGCCUCUGAGCUGCACAUGGGAACAAGUUGUGGGAUCAUGUGCCAGGAGCUCCUGUUACAGAGCUAGGGUAUAAGCAUAUACUGCCGUACCUGAGAAGGUUAAUAUGGUGACAUAUUAAUAAACUGGGGUGGCACCGCGGAAAUGACCCGCCCCCAAG